ensembl:snRNA U6 U6 spliceosomal RNA
GUUCACUUUGGCAGCAACAGCUACUACAACAGGAAUGGCACAAGAUUAGCAUGUUCCCUGCACAAGGAUGACAUGCAAAUUAAUGAAAUGUCCCACAUUAUA